rnacentral:rRNA from 1 species
GACGAACGCUGGCGGCGUGCUUAACACAUGCCAGUCGAACGGAAAGGCCCCUUUUUUGGUACUCUAGUUGCGAACGGUUGUGUAACACGUUCGUAACCUGCCCUUGACUUCGUUAUUACUUCAGUAAACUGGGGCUAAUACCGGCUAGGUAUCCUUUCUUCAUGGUGGGGGUUGGAAAGCUUCGGCGGUUUUGGAUGGACUCGCUGCUUAUCUUCUUGUUUUUGGGGUAGUUGCUUACCAAGGCUUUUACGGGUAGCCGGCCUGAGAGGGCGACCGGACAAAGUGGGACUGAGAGACGGACCAGACUGCGACGGGAGGAAGCAGUGGGGAAGAAUGAACAAUGGGCGGAAGCCUGAAGCAGAAAAGCCGCGUGCGGGAUGACGGACUUAGGGUUGUAAACAGAUUUCAGCAGGGGCGAAGCUUGUGGUGACGGUACCUGCAGAAGAAGCACCGGCUAACUACGUG